rnacentral:rRNA from 1 species
GAUGAACGCUAGCGGCAGGCUUAAUACAUGCAAGUCGCGGGGUCAGCAAUGACACCGGCGGACGGGUGCGUAACGCGUAUGCAACCUACCUACACCAGGGGGAUAGCCCUAGGAAACUGGGAUUAACACCGCAUAAUAGUAUUGAUGGCAUCAUUGAUAUUUGAAAUAUUUAUAGGAUGUAGAUGGGCAUGCGUAAGAUUAGCAAGUUGGUAAGGUAACGGCUUACCAAGGCUACGAUCUUUAGGGGCUCUGAGAGGAGUAUCCCCCACACUGGCACUGAGAUACGGGCCAGACUCCUACGGGAGGCAGCAGUAGGGAAUAUUGGGCAAUGGAGGCAACUCUGACCCAGCCAUGCCGCGUGCAGGAAGACGGCCCUCUGGGUUGUAAACUGCUUUUGAAUGGGAAGAAUGUGAUGUUUGCGAGCAUUAAUGACGGUACCAUUAGAAUAAGCCACGGCUAACUACGUGCCAGCAGCCGCAGUAACAC